rnacentral:lncRNA from 10 species
CGGCCGCCCAUCGUCUGAGAUGUGGGGAGCGCCUCUGCCCCGCCGCCCCGUCUGGGAUGUGAGGAGUGUCUCUGCCCGACCGCCACCCCGUCUGGGAGGUGAGGAGCGUCUCUGCCCGGCCGCCCCGUCUGAGAAGUGAGGAGCCCCUCCGCCCAGCAACCACCCCGUCCGGGAAGUGAAAAUAUUCUAUGCCAACUGUUUUCCACAGUCCUGCAUUAUAUAUUAAAACAAAGGCUGCCAGCUGGAGACACAGCCCUCCGAUUACAAAGGCCCAG